rnacentral:lncRNA from 1 species
GGGAGCUGACGGGAGGGGGCGGUCUCUGCGUGCCCAUUGGCCUUUUCUAGGCGAGCGCUGGCGGUCUCGGGGCUCGGUCCUCCGAGACCGUGUUUGGCAGUUUCGCGUGGAGGGCGGUUUGUGUUCCGCGGCUGUGGCCGGAAGGCUCCAGAACGUCCCCAGGGCCUCUUGAGUCAUAACUUUGUCAUGUAAAGUGGGACUCUAUCCAGACUGGAGGCGCUGGGAGCGGCCCGCGUUGAAGCGGCCUUAGAGACCAUCAGCAGUUUCCGUUAGGGCCCGCGGCGCCUGCUGUGCGCGCCCGGCCCAGACGUCCAGAAGAGGGGUCCGGGCCUUGUGCGGGCCCCCUGGCUGCCAGCCCGAACUGGGAAGGCCUCUCGCGUGCCGUUCCAAGUUAGCAGCAUCUAUUCGAUGCCCAGCCUCAAAAAUCAAAUUUAUGUUCUUAGGCAGUCAGUAAUUGCUUGCCCGUGCGCUGUACAGAUGAACUCUCCAUUGUCUGAGGUAGCUUGGUGUAAGGGAAAAAAAUCUGGACAAAGGGGAGGAAGAAUCUCUUGGUAUCAACCAAAAGCCAUUCUGGAGAGUGGUUAA